rnacentral:rRNA from 1 species
GAUGAACGCUAGCUGCAGGCUUAACACAUGCAAGUCGAGGGACCGGCGCACGGGUGAGUAACACGUAUCAAACCUGCCCGUUACUCGGGGAUAGCCUUUCGAAAGAAAGAUUAAUACCCGAUAUAAAGUAUGGGGAUGCGUUACAUUAGGUUGUUGGUGAAGUAACGGCCCACCAGGCCUUCGAUGGCUAGGGGGUAUGAGAGGCAGGUCCCCCACAAUGGAACUGCGGCACGGUCCACACUCGUACGCGAGGCAGGAGUGAGGAAUAUUGGUCACUGGGGGCUAGCCCGGACCUGCCAAGUAGCGGGAAGGAUGUAUGGGUAUUGGUCGUCAACUUCUUUUAAAUAAGAAUAGGUAUUAUAUGAAUAAGGAUCGGCUAACUCCGUGCCAGCAGCCGCGGUAAUAC